GGGAAAGAAACCUGGAAAGGUAGGGAGGUAUGGAUAUGGACAAGCUAUGCCAAGGAGCAGGGCUUUGUCAUGGAGAGUGACUAGGUGCUUUUACAUAGGAAAGUCACCUGAUAAUAUUAAAACCUGUGAAAUAUCACUCUGGUGGAAGUGUGAAUGAAUUUGAAAGGGGUGUAACACUGUUCUACUUUGUUUACUCCUCAGUACCCUUGGCUGUGUACAUUUGAGUAAAGAGAGCACUAUAAAAUCAAAAACCAAUGAAAUGGUUUCCAGAACACAGAACUAUUAAGCUUAAGAAAAGGACAGAAGGAACUGAAGAGAGAGGAACUGUUUUGGAGCAUCACACUUCCACCUCAGAAGAAAUAAGGAAGGAAGGAGGAGGGUGUUCCCACGGCUCUUCAACCAGGCCGGCUCUUCAGCCUACAUCCCCAUCUCAUCAAGUAAAAGGGAUUUUUCAACUGGACCAACCAGAUGGUUUAACAGUGCACUCCCACACCAUUCAACUACGCAAGGGAGAUACACUUAACAUAUGCAGUCGUAUAACACCUACUAACAUUUUCAAACAUUAAACCUUUAAAAAAGAGUUCUAAAGAAAUAGAAGCUUGAAGUAUCAUCUCUCAAGUAUAUAGACACUACUUCAUGGUGUGGUAAUAUAUGCAUAUAGAAGCUAGUAAACACCUCCAGGAGAUGCAAAAGGAAUUAGAACUGCCACAAGGUGCAAGCAAAACCUUGAGGUAAUCAAUCUGCAUCCCAUUUUGGAUGAGAAUAUUUGCAACUUUGAAGGUUAUUUUAAGGACAGCAGCAGAAGAA
rnacentral:lncRNA from 1 species